UGUUUAUUAUCUUAAUGGUAGAUUUUUUCUGGAUUUUUCUUUGACGAAAUAAACACUUGUUGUAGGAAUCCAAUAUAACGGAUGCAACGGUAUAACUGACGAUGAUGACUUUAUGCACACUCGCGAGGAGACAAGAUCAAAGCGAAUGAAGAAAAAACAGAUUGCAGUGAUCUCAUUUGUCGCGCAACAUCUUUCAAUCUUCGUCGUAUUCUGCCGGCUCCAAAGUGUCUCCUCCGCUGCGGCGAGUGUCAACCCGUCGACGCGAUCGCCGACGCGCGAUGUGACAGCCAUGCGAGGGAUCGGUGUCGUUUGACAAAACUCAAUUAGUCACUGGCAGGGUGAUUAGAACGGCAGAGCGACGAUAAGAGCGGGGAAAAGAAGAUCGUAAAACCGUGUCUCGUCCCGACACGAUGAUACACCGCACGCACACAC